rnacentral:lncRNA from 15 species
GUGAUGUUGCUAUCGGAGAGGGAGUGAUGCGGUACUUUAUGACAACAAUCAUAUCCAACUCCAGUUUGGAUUCAGUCUAGAUCUUGGAGGAAUGGGCCGAACACUGCUAUUUGAGGGUGAACCUGACCAUCUUGUUCCAGCAGCAUCAGAGGCACUUAUUGAAAGCAACCUCUUCCGGGUCGCAGGAAGGAUGUUGGCCCACACCUUUCUGCAUGACGGUCCCCAUGUCGCAGGAUUAAGUCCUGCUGUAAUUCAUGUACUGUUCAAUGGGGACCCUGAAAUGGCAACUGUUGUUACAGAAGACUGUCCUGAUCUGCACAUCAGGAGCAUCAUAAAACUGGUAUGUAACAUAAAAGAAACUUUGCCUUGCAAAAAUUAUUGUUUGGGCAAAUAUAAUAACUUGUAUGAUCUUGAUUCUAGCUCGAACAUGAAGAACUUACACUGCAACAGAAGGACACAGUUUCAGAUCUUUCCAUGUCUUGGGACCUUCCGGCAGUCACCGAAACAAAUCGGAGAUGGCUACAUAACAAACUUCUACUCCAUGCAGUCGUUGGGAGGACCAUGCGCCAAAUUAAACAGUUGAGAAAGGGACUGAAAGAUGUGAUGGUAUGGCCCCUUCUGACAUCUAGGCCAGAUGUUGUCCCACUUCUUUUCCCCAAAAUGGCUGAAAUGCAGUUCACAUCCCAGAUGCUCCUAGAAAAAAUCACAUGGCCAGUUGAGGACAGUGAUGAUGAAGACUUUGACUUAGACUCCACGUGCCGCAUCACUGGCUUUCUAAGGAUGUUCAUUGAAACAGCUUCAUCAGGUACCCUGGCCCAGCUGCUGACAUUCUGGGUUGGCUGGGAGAUGCUUCCUCCUGAACUGAGAGUGGAGAUUUCUGGGGGAACCCUUCCUACGUCCUCCACAUGCUUCGAAACACUGAAGCUGCCAGCUCAUUUCAAAACCUACAUGGACUUUGAGAAAGCACUUGUCUCUGCCAUAAAAAGUACUGGAUUUGGACUUGUUUAAGUUUUUUUCAGAUGUCAUUGCAUGCACUGUUUUGAUGAAUUGACACAAGUUCAGUGUCUUUGAAAACAUUAACACACUGUGCAGUAGUUGACUUUUUCCAUUUACUGAAACCAAACAGUUCUGCACCUUAAGUGUUAACAGUACAGCAUUCAUGUUAUUCAUUCUGUGGACAAUAAUGAGACGGGAAGUAAAGUGUUGAAGUUCAGAAAGUAGUGGAGCUGUACAUGACAGUCAUUAUGGUAGAGCUUCAAAGUAAAACAGCUUUUUUUUUUUUUUUCUUUAAGGAAAGCAAACUUUUUCAGUUUAUCCUUGCUUGUUCUAACACGCCAAAUAAAAGCAUGGGUUGGACAUCAGUCUGCUAUGAUUCCUGAUAAAACUUCCACAGUCUCUACAUAUAAUCUAAGUGCAUCAGUUACAGAAACUCCUGGAGCUGGCAAAAGGGCAACCUCUUCAUCUGAGAGCUCACGGGCCAGCUGAACAUGGGGGACUGACACAGUGCCUCCAUGAAGACUGUGAGGUCCGUUCCAGUCGAUCCCAUACUCUUCAGGAACCUGAAUGGAGGACAAGCAUGAUCAAUCUUGUACUUAAAACUAGUUUGACAUGUCAUUACACAAGAUUGUUAUUUUUGGUCACCAAGUCGGUGAGAAAAUCAAUGUUGCCUAUUCAAUUCAGUUUUGUAAAAUAAUACAGUUGUGCAUAGUAUGCACCAUAGAAACUACAGCUCAGAGGUGGAUCUUUGAAAGCUUGGGAGACUUGAAGAGACUAUAACCUAUGUUUCAUUUAAAGUACCACAUUUAGCACAAUAUUUUCUCCCAUAAUUCCUUUGGGGAAACAGUUUAAAAAAGUUCUUAAAAGUUGAUCGUUCUUUAACCUCAGUAGGAUCCUCCUCAGGGCCUUGCUCUCUGGAUCUUCUCCAGAGUUGCUGUGGUGACUGAUUCCU